rnacentral:snoRNA from 1 species
CUGCUCUACUGACAGACCUUGAGCAGUCCUGCUGUUCUCUUGGUUUGCACUAGGGGAUAGAAGAAAAAAAUCCUUGCGCUUUCUGUCUGGUGGCAGCCCACGGUUGAUAGUGGCUAAUCA